rnacentral:lncRNA from 1 species
GCAUCCUGGAGGAGGCGCGACCGGACAUCUUAAGGCCAUUACAGGGGCCGGCACUAUGGACAGUAAGCUAGCCUCUGCCUGCAGUGCCAGCAUCCCAUAUGGACACUGGUUCAAGUCCUGGCUGCUCCUCUUCUGGUCCAGCUCACUGCGAAUGGCCUGGGAAAGAAGCUGAAGAUGGCCCCAGUGCUUGGGCCCCUACACCCACGUGGGAGCCCUGGAAAAAGCUCUUGGCUUCUGACUUCAGACCAGUCCAGCUCUGGCCAUUGUGGCCAUUUGGGAAGGCUUUACCCGCUAUGUCACAGCGCUGGCCCCCUGAAGGGCCCGAGAUGUACAAGGCCUGCGCUCCUGCCUGGGAUCCAUCUCCCCCAAAUCAAGCCCAGGACAGAGACUGCACGAUUUGCACACAUCCCAGAAGCUUUCCCCUGGACACACCCUUGGGAAAAGGAUCCAGGAUUCUUCCCUGAAGCAGAAACAACUGGGAAAGGUGAGGAAGGGGGGCCGGGGGCUAGGGGAAGGGGGAGUGCGCGGGGCGCUUUGAGGGUCUCACGGCUGGGCCAUUGUGGUGUCAGGAGUGAUCGACAGCCGUGCCCUUCCGCACGUUCUGAAACGAGCUUUCAGGAGCAGACAGGACGCACACCCACGGCAGUGGAGACGCUGGCUGGGCAGCCUCGGGAGACCGCCCUCACAACCCAUCUGGGGACGACGGGAAGCAAACGGAGGAGCUGCAAGGGGCACAACCAGGCAGUCUUCCCGUAG